UUUAUUUCAAGCACUGUAUUUGUCGGGAUCUGGGUUGUGUUUGUGUAUUUUGUGCUUGCAACUUGUGUUUCAGUGUUUCCAGACUGUGCUGAAGUUCGCAGGUGUGCUGGGUGACAGGUGCGACUUAUCCUGCUGAUUGCUUGGUGGAGUAUUUAAGCAGGUGGCUGCCAGUACUUCGAUACCAGAGUGUUUGCCUUCUGUGACCAAGUACCAGGACCUUUUGGAUUUACAUCUCUGAACCACGGAUUCUGUGAGCUAAGUGUUUCCUGGUUAAACUUCGUUUUGUGGAUUUCGUUCUCUACUUCGUUUUGGUCUGGAUCUUCGACCAAGCUGGCAGUUUCCUGCAACCUUCAUCUCCUGGACCAAGAACUAAGCGUAACCUGUCCACCCUCCACCGCAAGUAUCAGCACAAGGAAACAACCUCACCUUUUCACCAAGCACAAUUAAGUCACAACCAAGUGAUCAACUAAGUAGACUGGAUUUCAACAACCCGAAUCCCUCUAUCACUGGCGACCUGACCACAUCCAUUCAUUAAGCCGGAUGUUUCCUUCCCGAAAUUUCUUGUUUAUUGCCAUCUCCAUGUGUUCCCUGUAUUUACCAAUUCUCUUCCCCAACAGUUGGAGUUUUGCCUGUUUACGUUCCCUAUUCAUUUUGUUCCCAAAUAAACAACUUUUAUUACUUUUCA